UACGUAGGGGGCAAGCGUUUGUCCGGAAUUAUUGGGCGUAAAGAGCGCGAGGCGUCCGAUAAGUCGGCUGUGAAAGUCCAGGGCUCAACCCUGGAAAGCCGGCCGAUACUGUCGGACUAGAGUUCGGAAGAGGCGAGUGGGAAUUCCCGGUGUAGCGGUGAAAUGCGCAGAUAUCGGGAGGAACACCUGUGGCGAAAAGCGGGCUC
rnacentral:rRNA from 1 species